rnacentral:lncRNA from 1 species
AACCCGCAGCCGGAAAAACCGCCGGAAAUCGGAGAAGUACGGAACUGAUGGUUCUGGAACGGGAAUUUCACGCCGAGGCUGAGAUCUAACGGCGAUGAAUCAACCAUAACGGCGGGAGAUAACCCGUCACGGCUGGAUGACUCAACGGUACUGCUCUGACUCGGACUACGAUUGUUAUCAUCAUUGAUAUUUUUAUUUAUCUUAACGCCUAAAUUGUUUUGGGCGAUUUUUAGGUUCUCUUCGUCCGGCGGAGGAAAAUUUGUUUUCGCUUUUGCACCGCGAAAUUCUCUCGCCGCCGCGUCGUAGGCUUUAGCUGCUUCCUCCGCCGUAUCAAAAGUCCCAAGCCAAACCCGGCUCUUUUUCCCCGGAUCUCUUAUCUCCG